rnacentral:rRNA from 1 species
GACGAACGCUGGCGGCGUGCCUAAUACAUGCAAGUAGAACGCACAGGUUAUACCGUAGCUUGCUACACCAUAGACUGUGAGUUGCGUACGGGGUAGUAACGCGUAGCUAACCUGCCUGGUAGCGGGGGGUAACUAGGGCAAACGACAGCUAAUAGCUCCUACUAUUAAUUAUUGCAUGGUAAGUUACUGAAAGGUGCAAUGGAAUCACGACCAGAUGGACCUUCGUUGUAUUAGCUAGUAGGUGAGGUGUCGGCUCAUCUAGGCGACGAGACAUAGCCGCCCUGCGAGGGUGAUCGGCCACCCUGGGAGUGAGACACGGCCCAGACUCCUUCGGGAGGCAGCCGUAGUGCAUCUUCAGCAAUGGGCGGAAGUCUGUGCGAGAUGCGCCGCGGGCGUAAAGAGGGUUGUCGGGUCGUGAAGCUCUGUUGUCGGGGAAGAACCGGUGUGAGAGUGGGACGUUCACAGUGUGACGGUAACUUAUCAGAAAGCACCGGCUAACUACGUG